UAUCCCCCAAACCAAGGGGGGAUGAGAACUACCGACCGGGGUUCGACAACUGGCGCAGCCAGUUGGACAGACGACGAGCUUGCGAGGAGACUGCCCGAAGGGCGAGCGCAGCGAGUCAAUCCCCCCCUCACCGCCA
rnacentral:sRNA from 5 species